AUUGAACGCUAGCGGCAUGCCUUACACAUGCAAGUCGAACGGCAACACGGGGCAACCUGGUGGCGAGUGGCGAACGGGUGAGUAAUGCAUCGGAACGUACCUUUCAGUGGGGGAUAACGUAGCGAAAGUUACGCUAAUACCGCAUAUUCUGUGAGCAGGAAAGCAGGGGAUCGCAAGACCUUGCGCUGAUUGAGCGGCCGAUGUCAGAUUAGCUAGUUGGUGAGGUAAAGGCUCACCAAGGCGACGAUCUGUAGCGGGUCUGAGAGGAUGAUCCGCCACACUGGAACUGAGGCACGGUCCAGACUCCUACGGGAGGCAGCAGUGGGGAAUUUUGGACAAUGGGGGCAACCCUGAUCCAGCCAUGCCGCGUGAGUGAAGAAGGCCUUCGGGUUGUAAAGCUCUUUCGGCCGGGAAGAAAUCGCACGGGCUAAUACCCUGUGUGGAUGACGGUACCGGAAUAAGAAGCACCGGCUAACUACGUGCCAGCAGCCGCCGCAGUAA
rnacentral:rRNA from 1 species